CCUACGGGUGGCAGCAGUGGGGAAUAUUGGACAAUGGGGGGAACCCUGAUCCAGCCAUGCCGCGUGUGUGAAGAAGGCCCUCGGGUUGUAAAGCACUUUCAGUGAGGAAGAACGCCUGGUGGUUAAUACCCAUCAGGAAAGACAUCACUCACAGAAGAAGCACCGGCUAACUCCGUGCCAGCAGCCGCGGUAAUACGGAGGGUGCGAGCGUUAAUCGGAAUUACUGGGCGUAAAGCGCGCGUAGGUGGCUUGAUAAGCCGGUUGUGAAAGCCCCGGGCUCAACCUGGGAACGGCAUCCGGAACUGUCAAGCUAGAGUGCAGGAGAGGAAGGUAGAAUUCCCGGUGUAGCGGUGAAAUGCGUAGAGAUCGGGAGGAAUACCAGUGGCGGAGGCGGCCUUCUGGACUGACACUGACACUGAGGUGCGAAAGCGUGGGUAGCAAACAGGAUUAGAUACCCUUGUAGUC
rnacentral:rRNA from 1 species